rnacentral:rRNA from 1 species
AUUGAACGCUGGCGGAAUGCUUUACACAUGCAAGUCGAACGGUAGAGGGGGCAACCCCUUCGAGAGUGGCGAACGGGUGGAGUAAUAUAUCGGAACGUGCCCAGUCGUGGGGAGUAACGUAGCGAAAGUUACGCUAAUACCGCAUACGAUCUAAGGAUGAAAGCGGGGGAGUCGCAAGACCUCGCGCGAUUGGAGCGGCCGAUAUCAGAUUAGGUAGUUGGUGAGGUAAAGGCUCACCAAGCCAACGAUCUGUAGCUGGUCUGAGAGGACGACCAGCCACACUGGAACUGAGACACGGUCCAGACUCCUACGGGAGGCAGCAGUGGGGGAAUUUUGGACAAUGGACGCAAGUCUGAUCCAGCCAUUCCGCGUGCAGGAUGAAGGCCCUCGGGUUGUAAACUGCUUUG